rnacentral:rRNA from 1 species
GACGAACGCUGGCGGCGUGCUUAACACAUGCAAGUCGAACGGAAAGGCCCUGCUUUUGUGGGGUGCUCGAGUGGCGAACGGGUGAGUAACACGUGAGUAACCUGCCCUUGACUUUGGGAGAACUUCAGGAAACUGGGGCUAAUACCGGAUAGGAGCUCCUGCUGCAUGGUGGGGGUUGGAAAGUUUCGGCGGUUGGGGCUGGACUCGCGGCUUAUCAGCUUGUUGGUGGGGUAGUGGCUUACCAAGGCUGUGACGGGUAGCCGGCCUGGGAGGGUGACCGGACACAUUGGGACUGAGAUACGGCCCAGACUCCUACGGGAGGCAGCAGUGGGGAAUAUUGCACAAUGGGCGGAAGCCUGAUGCAGCAACGCCGCGUGCGGGAUGACGGCCUUCGGGUUGUAAACCGCUUUCGCCUGUGACGAAGCGUGAGUGACGGUAAUGGGUAAAGAAGCACCGGCUAACUACGUG